UCAUCUUCUUUGAAUGAGAGGUGGGCGCUGUGCCAAGGUGACAGGUAGGAAUGGAUACGUACCUUUCCAGCCCAACAUUCCUGGCAGGAGGCACCCCCUCGGGGUACAAGGACGCCAUCCCCCACCGGCUGCCAGUGGUGUGGGGGAUGCCUGGAAGGUCUUCCUUCCCCACUUGGACAGAGGUUCAGAUUUUUCUUUUUAAUCUAAGGAGUUAUGUGGAGGAUCAAAGAGAAAUGGUGGCCUUUGUUGAGGGCAAUUCAGGAAUUUAAAACGGGGGAGGUCCUGGCUUGGGCAGUGUGUGUCACCCUGACGGGCACUCACCUCUGAUUUCCCUGCUUGCCUGAUGCUCUGAGCUGCAGCAGACUUUCUGCACUGGGUGGGGACAGACUGUCCCUGUAUUAGCUGGCUCUCAACAGACUUAGAGGGGGGCUUCCAUCUCCUCCCUGUAGAUCUCAGACCCUGUUUGUUUGUCCUCUUGCCCAAGGAGCUGCGCAUUCCUUAUCUUGGCUGUCACCUGCUUGGUGACAUUCAAGGGAUCCAUUGUCCAACUGAUCACUUUAUCGAUGCUGAUGUUCUGGUGGAGGUGAAGCACAGGUCUGUUUCUAGGUAACCCAGCCAGACUUAAUAAUGUCUCCCACUCAAAACAAGGGUUUCAGCUGAGCAGACGGAGGGUGACCAGCUGUCCCAACUUACCCAGGACUUGGGGGACAAGGGACUUUCAGUUUUAAAAUCAGGAGAGUCUUGGGCAGAUCAGGAUGGAUUGGUCACCCAGCAAUUGUCUUCUGGGGUAGGUGGGAGAGGAGC
rnacentral:lncRNA from 1 species